rnacentral:rRNA from 1 species
UGGGGAAUAUUGGACAAUGGGCGAAAGCCUGAUCCAGCCAUGCCGCGUGUGUGAAGAAGGUCUUCGGAUUGUAAAGCACUUUAAGUUGGGAGGAAGGGCAUUAACCUAAUACGUUAGUGUUUUGACGUUACCGACAGAAUAAGCACCGGCUAACUCUGUGCCAGCAGCCGCGGUAAUACAGAGGGUGCAAGCGUUAAUCGGAAUUACUGGGCGUAAAGCGCGCGUAGGUGUUUGUUAAGUUGGAUGUGAAAUCCCCGGGCUCAACCUGGGAACUGCAUUCAAAACUGACUGACUAGAGUAUGGUAGAGGGUGGUGGAAUUUCCUGUGUAGCGGUGAAAUGCGUAGAUAUAGGAAGGAACACCAGUGGCGAAGGCGACCACCUGGACUAAUACUGACACUGAGGUGCGAAAGCGUGGGGAGCAAACA